rnacentral:rRNA from 1 species
UGAACGCUAGCGGCAGGCUAAUACAUGCAAGUCGUGGGGCAGCAUGAGUAGCAAUACUUGAUGGCGACCGGCAAACGGGUGAGGAACACGUACACAACCUUCCUUCAAGCGGGGAAUAGCCCAGAGAAAUUUGGAUUAAUACCCAUAAUAUAUUUGAUAAGGCAUCUUAUUAAUAUUAAAGCUUCGGCACUUGAUGAUGGGUGUGCGGCUGAUUAGAUAGUUGGCGGGGUAACGGCCCACCAAGUCUACGAUCAGUAGCUGAUGUGAGAGCAUGAUCAGCCACACGGGCACUGAGACACGGGCCCGACUCCUACGGGAGGCAGCAGUAAGGAAUAUUGGACAAUGGACGAAAGUCUGAUCCAGCCAUGCCGCGUGAAGGAUUAAGGUCCUCUGGAUUGUAAACUUCUUUUAUAUGGGACGAAAAAAGGGCAUUCUUGUUCACUUGACGGUACCAUAUGAAUAAGCACCGGCUAACUCCGUG